rnacentral:rRNA from 1 species
GAUAAACGCUGGCGGCGUGCUUAACACAUGCAAGUCGAACGAAGUUUUUCUUUCGGGAGGAACUUAGUGGCGGACGGGUGAGUAACGCGUGGGUAACCUGCCCUGUACAGGGGGACAACAGCUGGAAACGGCUGCUAAUACCGCAUAAGCCCUUAGCACUGCAUGGUGCAUAGGGAAAAGGAGCAAUCCGGUACAGGAUGGACCCGCGUCGGAUUAGCCAGUUGGCAGGGUAACGGCCUACCAAAGCGACGAUCAGUAGCCGAUCUGAGAGGAUGUACGGCCACAUUGGGACUGAGACACGGCCCAGACUCCUACGGGAGGCAGCAGUGGGGAAUAUUGCACAAUGGAGGAAACUCUGAUGCAGCGACGCCGCGAGAGUGAAGAAGUAGUGCGGUAUGUAAAGCUCUAUCAGCAGGAAAGAAAAUGACGGUACCUGACUAAGAAGCACCGGCUAAAUACGUG